UACGAAGGGGGCUAGCGUUGCUCGGAUUGACUGGGCGUAAAGGGCGCGUAGGCGGUCAGUGCAAGUCAGUUGUGAAAUCUCCGGGCUUAACUCGGAAAGGUCAACUGAUACUGCUCGACUAGAGUGCGGAAGGGGCAACUGGAAUUCUUGGUGUAGCGGUGAAAUGCGUAGAUAUCAAGAGGAACACCUGCGGCGAAGGCGGGUUGCUGGGCCGACACUGACGCUGAAGUGCGAAAGCCAGGGGAGCGAACGGG
rnacentral:rRNA from 1 species